CAUCGUGAGGAAACCGGCUGUACUCUUUACCAACAAUAGACUUUUCUAAUUUAGACGAUUUAGAAAAUUGUCGCAUUUAAAAUCGAGAAAAAGUAAAAUUUUGAGUGCUUUUUAACAGUCGUGGUCUAAAGAAAAUUCACGAUUAUUUACAAAGUUCUAUUUAAAUACACUCGGGCCAUAUGAUCCGGUAUGGAAAAACUACGAAUUGUGCAAGGGACCCAAAUUUAAAAACGUUUCUGAGACGGACGUCGUUGUAUUUCAACAAGGCAAAGACUAUUAUGGGACUUUUAAAUUUAAGUUUUUAACUCGCAGUUUAGUGGAUGAGAUAAGACUAUGGCUCUAUUCGAUAGUCGGCGAAACAAGGAAACAACUGUGGUCACACAAAUUAUCAGAUCCCUGUAAAAAUUUUGUAUUUGCUGAACUGAUACAGGAGCAGCUAAAUUCGACUAAAUGCAUUGUUGAAAAGACAAGCUAUAAUAAAACCGUGAACUUCACAGAAACAACUAGAAAACUUCUCGGACCAUCAUUUUUCUACGGAAAUUAUUCUAUGAAAGUUGUUAUGUCUUCGAAAAAUGCAAAUAUUUUGUGUUUGCUGUUACAUAUUGAAUUACUUAAUAAAAGUAAAUUAAA